GAUCGCAAGGAGUGGGACAUGACUUAGUGACUGAACAACAACAAGGUCUAUAUUUUCCUGUCUUUCAUUAUAAACUGCCCCAGAGCAGUUUGUAAUGUUCAUUGACAUACCAGGAUCUUGUCAGGAGUGUUCAGGCAGUCUUGAGAAGUGCUCCUUUAAAUUGUAGAACAAGCUAUAAAGCCCUUGCUAUGCAGACGUUCCUUACUCCCUCAGCUUGCUGCUUCUCUAUGAGCCAAGUGCAAACAAUACCUGAGCCAUAUUAAAUUCCUUUUUUCUCCCCAAAUCCUUCUUGCUCUCUUGCAAUUUCGAAGCCUUUGCAAGUGUCUCAUAUUCUUCCUGAAAUGCCGUUCUCUGACCCUUUAUGUGGCACGUCAAAAGUAGACCCCGAAAGAUAUCCAUGUCCUCAUCCUUGAACCUGUGAAUGUUACCUUCUGUGGAAAACGAAUGUAAAGGAUCUUUGGAUAUGUGAUGAAGUUAAGGAUCUUAACAUGGCAAGAUAGUCCUUGAUUACCUGCGUGGGCUCUAAGUACUAUCAGCUGUAUAUGUUUACGAAGAAGGUAGAGGGAGAUUUGACCCGCACAGAGGAGAAGGCACAGUGAAGACGGAGGCGGAGAUUUAAGUGGCCUGGGGAGAAGCCAGCGAAUUCCAGCAGCUCCCCAGCAGCUGAAAGAAGCAAGGAACUGUUCUCCUGAGAGCCUCCAAGGAGUCGCGGCCCUGCCAGUGUCUGCCUGGGGAUACUGACUUCAGCCUUCAGAACCAAGAACAGGUCAGUUUGCUUUGAGAUCGAGAGUUGCUGGGAAGCCAAGGUUGAUCUGCCACCCCUCUACAAAGUUUGCAUCCAAAGAUGGUGUCGUGGCCAGAAAUAGAUCCAUUAGCUGCUGGAACACACGUUACACUUCACACUGAAAAACAGGGGCGGGGAUUAGUUUCUGAAUUGAGCGAUUCACUGGCAAGUCCUGCUUGCAAAGGAAUAUGUGCAGAUUUCAUCUUUUCUGUCAAGCUCCUCUCUCUGUUUCAGAGAGGCAUCCAUUCCACACUUGUCAAGAUGUAUUUGGUUUGAAAAUCAUUCUCAGGAUGUUCAGAGUUGCAUCAAGGACACUGAGCAGGGAGCAACGUGGUGAAGCAGAAAACGAGACCAAGGACCAGGAGAAUUUGUGUCUAGCAUCCGCGGAAAACCUUUUUUAUGUGCCCGUUACUGCGGCGCCCAUUCCCCCACACCGUUACUCUCAUGGGCGUGAAAGGCAAUGCGCACACUUCUUAGCCUCAAGCAACUUUUGAUGGAUUUUGACUAGAGAACUUGAACUUGGGGGAAUCCAACCAUUUUUAAGGGGGAGGUGAAAACAGCUGUUUAAUACAAGAAAGUCUUUCUUGCCAGAGGGGAAAAUAUGUUUCCUAAGAGCAUAUAAGUGAUCCUGGAUAUUAAGAGAUUUGUUUCCUGUCUAUUAUGAAUACCUUGACUACAGAUAAGACGGAUGAUAUUCAUUAGUGUGUUUUACCCAGAUUUUGUCAAACGAUUAAUGUCAGUCAUUUUGUGUUUCUAAUUGAAAAGAGUCUCUCUUUGA